CAAUUAAAAAAAAAAGUACUGUUUAAAUAACUGGUUGCAUGGUCUGGGAGAAAAAUCAUUAGAGAAGUCUUAAGGAACACACUGGCUUUAAAGUUGGAAUUGACCCUAGAGACAGUGAAGAGAAUUAAAAAAUAAAUGUUUCUUGUAAUGGAAAAGGAAAUAAACAGAGCUUUAUCAUUUUCUGCUUCGAAUGGCUUUCAAAACAAAACAAAACAAACAAACAAACAAAAAAAACCCCAUACCAUUCUGUUCCCUAUCACAUGAAACUUUUUGUUGUGUUGUCUGUAUUGUCUAGUCAAUAAAAAAUGUCCCCUGCAAUGCAUGAGGCAGCAAAAUAAACUCGUGGUGAGACUCGUCUGAAACAAAACCAGCAAGGAGAGACUUUAUGCCUGAGUGUUUAACCUUAGUUCUGUCCAAAUUAAACAAUGAUACAAAACAGUAUGGAAAGGAAGCCCAAAACACAACCUGUUCUUUACCUCUGUCUCUGAUACUAAGUUAAAAAAGCCCAGGACAGCUCUAUGGCAUUUAAGUCAACUGGAACAGUACAGCCAACUCUGAUGACAUAAUUGCCUUACCCUUCAGAACAGAAUGGCCUCUUACAAACUGCCUACUGGAAAUGGUCCAUAACCACACGAACUUCUGCUCCAUCCCCAAGGCCUCUGUUUGAACGAUUGCACAUCAGUCUGGGUCAAAACCAGCAAUCACUGGCAGCUGUACAGCACAGCCAUUUUAGCUGCAGUGCUUGGGAAUAAUCCCCAGAAGUGUUUGGCUUAUUGCUGUAGAAACAGACUUUGCAGACAUUGAUCCCACACAACUGCUAUGGUGUAACCCCAGCUGGCUGGUCAGCACUACACAGUCAUUCCUGCUAACUCUCCCCAGCUACAUCUCACGUGAGGACAAAUUCUUCAACUUUCUCUCAAGAUUCAAGAUCUUCAACAUAUGGAGGCAAAUAUUUACUAACUAAUGUUAAAGAAAAUGUCUCAGCUAUUUCUCUGCACUGCUUCAAGAGUCACCAGAGACAAAAGUACAGCACGUUCUUCCUGUGCUCCAGAAAGCAUAAGAAACACUAAAACAGACUUAGCCAUAGCUAAAAACAGCACAAUAAUUAAAAAUAAACAAACAAUCAC